rnacentral:rRNA from 1 species
GAUGAACGCUGGCGGCGUGCCUAAUACAUGCAAGUCGAGCGAACAGAUGAGGAGCUUGCUCCUCUGACGUUAGCGGCGGACGGGUGAGUAACACGUGGAUAACCUACCUAUAAGACUGGGAUAACUUCGGGAAACCGGAGCUAAUACCGGAUAAUAUAUUGAACCGCAUGGUUCAAUAGUGAAAGACGGUUUUGCUGUCACUUAUAGCUGGAUCCGCGCCGCAUUAGCUAGUUGGUAAGGUACCGGCUUACCAAGGCAACGAUGCGUAGCCGACCUGAGAGGGUGAUCGGCCACACUGGAACUGAGACACGGUCCAGACUCCUACGGGAGGCAGCAGUAGGGAAUCUUCCGCAAUGGGCGAAAGCCUGACGGAGCAACGCCGCGUGAGUGAUGAAGGUCUUCGGAUCGUAAAACUCUGUUAUUAGGGAAGAACAAAUGUGUAAGUAACUAUGCACGUCUUGACGGUACCUAAUCAGAAAGCCACGGCUAACUACGUG